UCGCAGUGAUGCAAGCUAACGCAUUAAACAUCCCGCCUGGGGAGUACGGUCGCAAGAAUAAAACUCAAAGGAAUAGACGGGGACCCGCACAAGUGGUGGAGCAUGUGGUUUAAUUCGAAGAUACGCGAAGAACCUUACCUAGCCUUGACAUUGAUAGAACACCGUAGAGAUACAGUGGUGCCCUUUUGGGAGCUUGAAAACAGGUGCUGCACGGCUGUCGUCAACUCGUGUCGUGAGAUGUUGGGUUAAGUCCCGCAACGAGCGCAACCCUCGUUCUUAGUUACUAACGAUUCGGUCGAGGACUCUAAGAAGACUGCCUUCGUAAGGAGGAGGAAGGUGAGGACGACGUCAAGUCAUCAUGGCCCUUACGGCUAGGGCAACACACGUGCUACAAUGGUUAGGACAAUGAGAGGCGAUACCGCGAGGUGGAGCAAAUCUAUAAACCUAAUCUCAGUUCGGAUUGUAGUCUGCAACUCGACUACAUGAAGCUGGAAUCACUAGUAAUCGUAGAUCAGCUAUGCUACGGUGAAUACGUUCCCGGGUCUUGUACUCACCGCCCGUCACACCAUGGGAGUUGAUUUCACCCGAAGCGGGGAAGCUAAACUGGCUACCCUCCACGGUGGAAUUAGCGACUGGGGUGAAGUCGUAACAAGGUA
rnacentral:rRNA from 1 species